rfam:Gossypium hirsutum cultivar TM-1 chromosome 12, whole genome shotgun sequence
CACGUCAGCGCGCUUUGCUGAUGUGGACACAAAUAGUGCUAACGUGGACACUAUUUGUGUCCACGCCAGCAAAGCGCGCUGACGUGG